rnacentral:sRNA from 1 species
UGGUGGCCGGUGGAAAGGUGGUCGUGGUGGUCGGGGAGGUGGAGGUAGAAGCAGGGCAGGCCGUGGUGGCCGUGGGGAAUAUUAUGGCGCCCCGAUAUAAUGAAUGAUAUGAUAACAUAUCCGCGGUUGCAGGAUUUCAAGCGCUUUUUUCUUACAUUGAUUCAUUUUGCACUUUUCUGGGAAUGGACUACAGGGAAGGCGGGAUGGUAGGCGUUUUGUACUCUUCGUGUAUGACUAGGCACUUGUGAUUUUACUAAAAACAAAUCCGGGAAUUAUCAUGCAUUUCAUCUCGAGUCUGGAUCCACCAACUUCAUUCGCAUGAUGCCUUGAGAGGAAGUGCAAUCCCAGUCAACCACUGAAAACAUCAGUAGUUUCUUACUCUCCUCUGCAUACUCUUGGUAACUACAAGGAGCCGUCGGAACUUGAAUCAGAACUACAUUCUACAUUCCAG